UACGUAGGGUGCAAGCGUUGUCCGGAAUUAUUGGGCGUAAAGAGCUCGUAGGCGGUCUGUCGCGUCGGAUGUGAAAACCCGGGGCUUAACUCCGGGCCUGCAUUCGAUACGGGCAGACUCGAGUGUGGUAGGGGAGACUGGAACUCCUGGUGUAGCGGUGAAAUGCGCAGAUAUCAGGAAGAACACCGGUGGCGAAGGCGGGUCUCUGGGCCACUACUGACGCUGAGGAGCGAAAGCGUGGGGAGCGAACAGG
rnacentral:rRNA from 1 species